GGUGAGUAACACGUGAGUAACCUGCCCUUGACUCUGGGAUAAGCGCUGGAAACGGCGUCUAAUACCGGAUACGAGCUUCAGCCGCAUGGCUAGGAGUUGGAAAGAAUUUCGGUCAAGGAUGGACUCGCGGCCUAUCAGCUAGUUGGUGAGGUAAUGGCUCACCAAGGCGACGACGGGUAGCCGGCCUGAGAGGGUGACCGGCCACACUGGGACUGAGACACGGCCCAGACUCCUACGGGAGGCAGCAGUGGGGAAUAUUGCACAAUGGGCGAAAGCCUGAUGCAGCAACGCCGCGUGAGGGAUGACGGCCUUCGGGUUGUAAACCUCUUUUAGUAGGGAAGAAGCGAAAGUGACGGUACCUGCAGAAAAAGCACCGGCUAACUACGUGCCAGCAGCCGCGGUAAUACGUAGGGUGCAAGCGUUGUCCGGAAUUAUUGGGCGUAAAGAGCUCGUAGGCGGUUUGUCGCGUCUGCUGUGAAAUCUGGGGGCUCAACCCCCAGCCUGCAGUGGGUACGGGCAGACUAGAGUGCGGUAGGGGAGAUUGGAAUUCCUGGUGUAGCGGUGGAAUGCGCAGAUAUCAGGAGGAACACCGAUGGCGAAGGCAGAUCUCUGGGCCGUAACUGACGCUGAGGAGCGAAAGCAUGGGGAGCGAACAGGAUUAGAUACCCUGGUAGUCCAUGCCGUAAACGUUGGGAACUAGAUGUGGGGGCCAUUCCACGGUCUCCGUGUCGCAGCUAACGCAUUAAGUUCCCCGCCUGGGGAGUACGGCCGCAAGGCUAAAACUCAA
rnacentral:rRNA from 1 species